UACGAAGGGUGCAAGCGUUAUCCGGAUUCAUUGGGUUUAAAGGGUGCGUAGGUGGGGCGAUAAGUCAGUGGUGAAAUCCUGCGGCUUAACCGUAGAAUUGCCAUUGAUACUGUCGCUCUUGAGUACGCGUGACGUGGGCGGAAUGUGCCGUGUAGCGGUGAAAUGCUUAGAUAUGGCACAGAACACCGAUAGUGAAGACAGCUCACGAAGGCGAAACUGACACUGAGGCACGAAAGCGUGGGGAGCGAACAGG
rnacentral:rRNA from 1 species